CCAAACCCCUCCUUCCUUUCUUCUCAUCCAUGGCGUGCACCGCUAACGCCUUCUCUCUUUCUAUCUCCUCCAACCCCAACACCAAUUUCUCAUCCGACUCCAAUCCCAAGCUUAAUAAACCCCUCAACCUUACCCUCCGCGGUUCCGGUUCCGGUUCCGGUGAGUCGAAUCUGGGAAUAUACCUUGUGUUAUCCAUUAAAGUGGUCAAACUUUCUUCCUGGUGUGCUUUGUGAAUGUGUAUAACUGUCCUUGUCUACUUGAAGCAACGAUAUUAUACGCCGGUGAUUUUGUCAUCUUUGCGAUCUAUAUUUCUUCAAGCAUUAAGUGAUCCGCUGUUGAUCAUUACAGGGAUCCUGAUGCGCUGGCUUAUGCUAUAAAGCGAUCGUGUGAAAACAAGGCUGAGGUUGUCUCAUUAGAUGAGAAAGAAAGUGGUUGAGGGCUACACUGAACUUGGGGCGUACAUUUGGUCAUGCAAUAGAAACUGGGUUUGGAUAUGGAGAGGGCUUCAUGGAGAAGCUGUUGCAGCUGGCACGGUUAUGGCUGUUGACAUGUCACACUGCCUCGGUUGGAUCGACAGGUCAAUUUUCA